rnacentral:rRNA from 1 species
CGGUAGGGUAAACCCGUAGGCCGUUUCCUACGUAGGGGGGACGGAAACGAACGGUUAGGGUAAAGAAGAACCGGAACCUGCUAAUACCGCAUAACACAUAGGUGUCGCAUGGCAUUUAUGUCAAAGAUUUAUCGCUGAAAGAUGGCCUCGCGUCUGAUUAGCUAGUUGGUGAGGUAACGGCUCACCAAGGCGACGAUCAGUAGCCGGACUGAGAGGUUGGCCGGCCACAUUGGGACUGAGAUACGGCCCAGACUCCUACGGGAGGCAGCAG